rnacentral:rRNA from 1 species
GAUGAACGCUGGCGGCGUGCCUAAUACAUGCAAGUCGAGCGAACGGACGAGAAGCUUGCUUCUCUGAUGUUAGCGGCGGACGGGUGAGUAACACGUGGAUAACCUACCUAUAAGACUGGGAGAACUUCGGGAAACCGUAGCUAAUACCGGAUAAUAUUUUGAACCGCAUGGUUCAAAAGUGAAAGACAGUCUUGCUGUCACUUAUAGAUGGAUCCGCGAUGCAUUAGCUAGUUGGUAAGGUAACGGCUUACCAAGGCAACGAUGCAUAGCCGAACUGAGAGGGUGAUCAGCCACACUGGAACUGAAACACGCUCCAGACUCCUACGGGAGGCAGCAGUAGGGAAUAUUCCGCAAAGGGCGAAAGCCUGACGAAGCAACGCCACGUCGGUGACGAAGGUCUUCGGAUCGUAAAACUCUGUUAGUAGGGAAGAACAUAUGGGUAAGAAACUGUGCACAUCUUGACGGUACCUAAUCAGAAAGCCACGGCUAACUACGUG